GAUGAAGAACGUAGCGAAAUGCGAUAAGUAAUGCGAAUUGCAGAAUUCCGUGAGUCAUCGAAUCUUUGAACGCACAUUGCGCCCGCCAGUAUUCUGGCGGGCAUGCCUGUCCGAGCGUCAUUUCAACCAUCAAGCCCCCGGGCUUGUGUUGGGGACCUGCGGCUGCCCGCAGGCCCUGAAAACCAGUGGCGGGCUCGCUGUCACACCGAGCGUAGUAGCAAUCACCUCGCUCAGGGCGUGCUGCGGGUUCCGGCCGUUAAACAGCCUUACAAACCCCAAGGUUGACCUCGGAUCAGGUAGGAAGACCCGCUGAACUUAAGCAUAUCAAUAAGCGGAGGA
rnacentral:misc_RNA from 1 species